rnacentral:rRNA from 1 species
UACGUAGGGUGCGAGCGUUGUCCGGAAUUAUUGGGCGUAAAGAGCUCGUAGGCGGUCUGUCGCGUCUGCUGUGAAAACCCGAGGCUCAACCUCGGGCUUGCAGUGGAUACGGGCAGACUAGAGUGCGGUAGGGGAGACUGGGAAUUCCUGGUGUAGCGGUGGAAUGCGCAGAUAUCAGGAGGAACACCGAUGGCGAAGGCAGGUCUCUGGGCCGCAACUGACGCUGAGGAGCGAAAGCAUGGGGAGCGAACAGG